rnacentral:misc_RNA from 1 species
CUGUUCGAGCGUCAUUAUAACCACUCAAGCCUGGCUUGGUAUUGGAGUUCGCGGUUCCGCGGCCCCUAAAAUCAGUGGCGGUGCCGGUGGGCUCUAAGCGUAGUAAAUCUCCUCGCUAUAGGGUCCCCCCCGGUUUCUCGCCAGAACCCCCCAUUUUUCAGGUUGACCUCGGAUCAGGUAGGGAUACCCGCUGAACUUAA